UUUCCAUUAUGCACACGACGUCUUCAAGGUAACCAUUCUCCCCGACCUCUGAGAACAGAGCCCAGGGUUUGGUCUCUGCCAUCGCCUGGAUUUGUGUGUGGCUCUCC